rnacentral:snoRNA from 1 species
AUCCUUUUAUGGUUCAUAAGUAUGUUGAUUAUGUUUUCAUGCUGUUGUGUGAGAUGUACCUCCCUCAAACCUUGUUAUGAUGUCAGCACAUUAUCCGUCUGACG